GGCUAAUACCGCAUAAUGUCGCAAGACCAAAGUGGGGGACCUGAAAGGGCCUCACGCCGUCGGAUGAACCCAGAUGGGAUUAGCUGGUAGGUAGGGUAAUGGCCUACCUAGGCGACGAUCCCUAGCUGGUCUGAGAGGAUGACCAGCCACACUGGGACUGAGACACGGCCCAGACUCCUACGGGAGGCAGCAGUGGGGAAUAUUGCACAAUGGGCGCAAGCCUGAUGCAGCCAUGCCGCGUGUAUGAAGAAGGCCUUCGGGUUGUAAAGUACUUUCAGCGGGGAGGAAGGGUUGAGCCUGAACAGGGCUGGGCCUUGACGUUACCCGCAGAAGAAGCACCGGCUAACUCCGUGCCAGCAGCCGCGGUAAUACGGAGGGUGCGAGCGUUAAUCGGAAUGACUGGGCGUAAAGCGCACGCAGGCGGUCAAUUAAGUUAGAUGUGAAAUCCCCGGGCUCAACCUGGGAACGGCAUCUAAGACUGGUUGACUGGAGUCUCGUAGAGGGGGGUAGAAUUCCAUGUGUAGCGGUGAAAUGCGUAGAGAUGUGGAGGAAUACCGGUGGCGAAGGCGGCCCCCUGGACGAAGACUGACGCUCAGGUGCGAAAGCGUGGGGAGCAAACAGGAUUAGAUACCCUGGUAGUCCACGCUGUAAACGAUGUCGAUUUGGAGGUUGUGGCCUUGAGCUGUGGCUUCCGAAGCUAACGCGUUAAAUCGACCGCCUGGGGAGUACGGCCGCAAGGUUAAAACUCAAAUGAAUUGACGGGGGCCCGCACAAGCGGUGGAGCAUGUGGUUUAAUUCGAUGCAACGCGAAGAACCUUACCUACUCUUGACAUCCUCAGAAUUUGCUGGAGACGGCGAAGUGCCUUCGGGAACUGAGAGACAGGUGCUGCAUGGCUGUCGUCAGCUCGUGUUGUGAAAUGUUGGGUUAAGUCCCGCAACGAGCGCAACCCUUAUCCUUUGUUGCCAGCACGUCGAGGUGGGAACUCAAAGGAGACUGCCGGUGAUAAACCGGAGGAAGGUGGGGAUGACGUCAAGUCAUCAUGGCCCUUACGAGUAGGGCUACACACGUGCUACAAUGGCGGAUACAAAGUGAAGCGACCUCGCGAGAGCAAGCGGAACACACAAAGUCUGUCGUAGUCCGGAUUGGAGUCUGCAACUCGACUCCAUGAAGUCGGAAUCGCUAGUA
rnacentral:rRNA from 1 species